rnacentral:sRNA from 1 species
CAAUAGCCCUGAUGGAAGUGCAAAUCCUUUUUCUUUUUUUCUUUAAAAAAGGAAAAGAUUGAAGCGAACAGCAGGAACUUUA